rnacentral:rRNA from 1 species
CACGUAGUCAACCUUCCCGAUAGUGGGGGAUAACUAGCCGAAAGGUUAGCUAAUACCGCAUACGAUCUUCGAGUGGCAUCACUUGAAGAUGAAAGGAGCAAUCCGCUUUCGGACGGGACUGCGUCCCAUUAGCUAGAUGGUGGGGUAAUGGCCUACCAUGGCUUCGAUGGGUAGCUGGUUUGAGAGAGCGACCAGCCACACUGGGACUGAGAAACGGCCCAG